GAUGAAGAACGUAGCGAAAUGCGAUACGUAAUGUGAAUUGCAGAAUUCAGUGAAUCAUCGAAUCUUUGAACGCACCUUGCACCCUUUGGCAUUCCGAAGGGUAUGCUCGUUUGAGUGUCAUUGUACUCUCACACUCCCAAUUGCUUUGGAUUGGGAGCGGUGGACUUGGGUGUUGCUGCUUGACUGAGGCUCACCUGAAAUAUGUUAGUGCACCUCUUGAUUGGACAUAGUACGGCGUGAUAAGUGUCUUCGCCGGCUCCUCGCAAAGAGGGUGGCCGAUCGGGAGCUCUGUUGCUUCAAACUGUCUUCGGACAAUCUUCUGGCGACUUGACCUCAAAUCGAGUAGGACUACCCGCUGAACUUAAGCAUAUCAAUAAGCGGAGGA
rnacentral:misc_RNA from 1 species